CGAACGGGUGAGUAACGCGUGAGGAACCUGCCUCAAAGAGGGGGACAACAGUUGGAAACGACUGCUAAUACCGCAUAAGCCCACGGUGCCGCAUGGCACAGAGGGAAAAGGAGCAAUCCGCUUUGAGAUGGCCUCGCGUCCGAUUAGCUAGUUGGUGAGGUAACGGCCUACCAAGGCAACGAUCGGUAGCCGGACUGAGAGGUUGAACGGCCACAUUGGGACUGAGACACGGCCCAG
rnacentral:rRNA from 1 species